rnacentral:misc_RNA from 1 species
GGAAGGAUCAUUAACAAAUUCCAAAACUCGUCUUUGCCAGAGGUGGACUGGGGCUCCGGCCUCGGGACCCUCGGGUCAUAUGACAAAUAUUUACAUUCACAAUUGACAACAACAGGAUUUCCACAACUAAUCGUUAAAACAACUUUUAACAAUGGAUCUCUUGGCUCUUGCAACGAUGAAGAACGCAGCGAACUGCGAAACGUAAUGUGACCUGCACUCUUCGUGAAUCAUCCAAUCUUUGAACGCACUUUGCACCUCGUGGCUCCUGUCACGAGGUAUACUUGUUUGAGUAUCCGUAACCAUCUCACCUCUCCCUCGGGGCGGUGGACGCUGAGAUUCGAUGAGCAGUAGCGAGUCGUCUCUUGAAAACCAUGGCCCGUCUGUGGAAGGUCUCCGUUGGGACCUGACCGACCAUUUGGAUAACGUCCUACAAUUGUCGUGUCAGUGUCACUUUGAGCGUUGACUGACCUUGGCCACACAGAUCAAACAGACGCCACUAACCCUGGUGCCUGUGCGAUCAAUUAUCAUUUACAAUUGGAUCUCAAAUCAAGUAAGGAUACCCGCUGAACUUAAGCAUAUCAGUAAGCGGAGGAAAAGAAACUAACAAGGAUUCCCUUAGUAGCGGCGAGCGAAGCGGGAACAGCUCAAAUUUAAAAUCUGGCAUCCGGAUGGGUGUCCGAAUUGUAAUUGAGAGGGUUGCCUUUUGGCGACCCGGGAUGGUCAAAGUUCUCUGGAAGGAGACAACAAAGAGGGUGACAUUCCCGUCUGGAUCAUCUCGGGCCGUCAGGAUAAAGGUGGCUCCAAGAGUCGGAUUGUUUGGGAAUGCAGUCCAAAAUGGGUGGUACAUUUCAUCUAAAGCUAAAUAAUGGCAAGAGACCGAUAGCGAACAAGUACCGUGAGGGAAAGAUGAAAAGAACUUUGAAAAGAGAGUUAAACAGUACGUGAAAUUGUUAAAAGGGAAACGAUUGAGACCAGUGAUGUCCCCGUCCUUGAGCUUGCCCUCUGGGGCCUGCGUCUGGGCUGGGACAAGUCGACGCUCCUUCUGGAGGGUGGAUAAGACUGGCGGAAAGGUGGCUCCACCUUCGGGUGGCUGCUUUAUAGUCCGCCAGGGAUACAUCCCCUGGGAGGAGACCGGUAGGGCCGCAAGGCUCACGUCGACGAAAUGGUCUUAAACGACCCGUCUUGAAACACGGACCAAGGAGUCUAACAACUAUGCGAGUAUUUGAGUGGCAAACUCGAAUGCGUAAAGAAACUGAACGCGUGGGAUCGGUCGUCCUACGGGACAGCCGUGCACCAUGGGCCGGUCCUAGUCUCCGACUUGGAUUGCGCUAGAGCAUAUCUGUUGGGACCCGAAAGAUGGUGAACUAUGCCUGAAUAGGGUGAAGCCAGGGGAAACUCUGGUGGAGGCUCGUAGACAUUCUGACGUGCAAAUCGAUGUUCAAAUUUGGGUAUAGGGGCGAAAGACUAAUCGAACCAUCUAGUAGCUGGUUCCCUC